UGUUUCGGCAAGGGGGUCAUCCCGACUUACCAACCCGAUGCAAACUGCGAAUACCGGAGAAUGUUAUCACGGGAGACACACGGCGGGUGCUAACGUCCGUCGUGAAGAGGGAAACAACCCAGACCGCCAGCUAAGGUCCCAAAGUCAUGGUUAAGUGGGAAACGAUGUGGGAAGGCCCAGACAGCCAGGAUGUUGGCUUAGAAGCAGCCAUCAUUUAAAGAAAGCGUAAUAGCUCACUGGUCGAGUCGGCCUGCGCGGAAGAUGUAACGGGGCUAAACCAUGCACCGAAGCUGCGGCAGCGACGCUUAUGCGUUGUUGGGUAGGGGAGCGUUCUGUAAGCCUGUGAAGGUGUGCUGUGAGGCAUGCUGGAGGUAUCAGAAGUGCGAAUGCUGACAUAAGUAACGAUAAAGCGGGUGAAAAGCCCGCUCGCCGGAAGACCAAGGGUUCCUGUCCAACGUUAAUCGGGGCAGGGUGAGUCGACCCCUAAGGCGAGGCCGAAAGGCGUAGUCGAUGGGAAACAGGUUAAUAUUCCUGUACUUGGUGUUACUGCGAAGGGGGGACGGAGAAGGCUAUGUUGGCCGGGCGACGGUUGUCCCGGUUUAAGCGUGUAGGCUGGUUUUCCAGGCAAAUCCGGAAAAUCAAGGCUGAGGCGUGAUGACGAGGCACUACGGUGCUGAAGCAACAAAUGCCCUGCUUCCAGGAAAAGCCUCUAAGCAUCAGGUAACAUCAAAUCGUACCCCAAACCGACACAGGUGGUCAGGUAGAGAAUACCAAGGCGCUUGAGAGAACUCGGGUGAAGGAACUAGGCAAAAUGGUGCCGUAACUUCGGGAGAAGGCACGCU
rnacentral:rRNA from 1 species